rnacentral:rRNA from 1 species
ACGGGGAGUAGAACUAACAAGGAUUCCCCUAGUAACGGCGAGUGAAGCGGGAAGAGCUCAAAUUUGUAAUCUGGCGGUCUCUGGCCGUCCGAGUUGUAGUCUCGAGAAGCGUUUUCCGCGUCGGACCGUGUACAAGUCCCUUGGAACAGGGCGUCACAGAGGGUGAGAAUCCCGUCUUUGACACGGACUGCCGAUGCUUUUGCGAUGCGCUCUCAAAGAGUCGAGUUGUUUGGGAAUGCAGCUCAAAACGGGUGGUAAAUUCCAUCUAAAGCUAAAUACUGGCGAAAGACCGAUAGCGAACAAGUACCGUGAGGGAAAGAUGAAAAGCACUUUGAAAAGAGAGUCAAACAGUACGUGAAAUUGUCAAAAGGGAAACGCUUGAAGUCAGUCACGUCCCUCGGGAUUCAGCUCUUGCUUUUUGCAUUGCGGACUUUCCGGGACGACGGGCCAGCAUCGAUCUUGACCGUUGGAGAAAGGCCUUGGGAAUGUGGCACCUACGGGUGUGUUAUAGCCCAGGGUCGUAUGCGACGGUUGGGAUCGAGGGUCGCAGCACGCCUUUUUGGCCGGGGUUCGCCCACGUAACGUGCUUAGGAUGCUGGCGUAAUGGCUUUAAGCGACCCGUCUUGAAACACGGACCAAGGAGUCUAACAUGCCUGCGAGUGUUUGGGUGGAAAACCCGGACGCGGAAUGAAAGUGAAUCAGUUGGGACCUCUGUCGUGGAGGGCACCGACGCCCGGGCCAGAGCUUUUGCGACGGUUCCGAGGUAGAGCAUGUAUGUUGGGACCCGAAAGAUGGUGAACUAUGCCUGCGUAGGGUGAAGCCAGAGGAAACUCUGGUGGAGGCUCGUAGCGAUUCUGACGUGCAAAUCGAUCGUCGAACGUGGGUAUAGGGGCGAAAGACUAAUCGAACCAUCUAGUAGCUGGUUCCUGCCGAGUU